GUGUCAGCCGCCGCGGUAAGACGAACCGUCCAAACGUUAUUCGGAAUCACUGGGCUUAAAGGGUGCGUAGGCGGUCCGGGAAGUUGGGUGUGAAAGCCCUCAGCUCAACUGAGGAACUGCGUCCAAAACUGCCGGACUCGAGGGAGACAUAGGUGAGCGGAACUUAGGGUGGAGCGGUGAAAUGCGUUGAGAUCCUAAGGAACACCAGUAGCGAAAGCGGCUCACUGGGUCUCUACUGACGCUGAUGCACGAAAGCUAGGGGAGCGAAGAGGAUUAGAAACCCGCGUAGUCC
rnacentral:rRNA from 1 species